UCCUGCCUCACGUCCCCCGGCUCUCUAGCAUCCUGCUCAGGCCACACACGCCUCCUCACCAGCCUGCCUUUGAGAGCAACUGUGGCCUUGGGGGCCGCAGGUUUUAAGUUCUGCACCAGCUGCAGCUUGCUAGAACGGGGGUUUGGGCUCCAGCAGCUGCCCAUAGGGGUGGCUUCCUGGCCCAGCAAUUGCCCCUCCUAGCCAUCACAGGCGGAGGCAGGCUGGGUCUGGAUUUCCCCUUCCAGUGAGGUUGGGAUCCAGGUUCAUGCAGCCUGGGACUUGCAUGGAGCCCCCACCAGGCAGGUGCCCUGAGAGAAGGGCAGGAACUUCUUGCUCCGCUGAUCCACCCAGAGCCUCCGUGUUUGCUGCUUCCUCCAGGCAGGUGUUGCGGAGAGCUCUACCUUCCACCCAGGAUGCCCAGAUGGGGAGGAUCCAGGUUGGGAAGGUCUGGAGGCUAUUUGGACACAAACACAGGCCAUGUGAGCCUGAAGGCAGAGACUGGGAGAUGCAUCUAGAAGCCAAGGAACGUGGAAGAUGGCCAGCAAACCGCCAGACACGGAGGGAGAGGCCUGGAGCAGUCUCCCUUAUAGCCCCAGGAGGAACCAACCCUGCUGGCACGUCGCUGUUGGACUUCUGGCCUCCAGAACUGGGAGACAACGGGUUUUGGUGGCUUAAGCCACCAACGACAUUCAUGCAGCCCCUGUGGAGGUCAAGCGAUUUGUUCCAGAGCUCUGGGCACGUCACUUUGCUUUUUGAGGCUUCCUAGCCUGUAAAGUGGGGAGUGGCAGCUCUCCGCAGCUGUCAAGAUCAAAUGAGAUAAAGAAGGCUGGAGAGAGGGGAAGGGCGGGAAUUGGAGGCGGAGAUGCUGACCUCCAUUUCUGCCCUGCUUCUGCCACCUCCUAGCUCAUGGCCACUUGCCCGCUACUUAAUAAUAAUAUUUACCUCCCAGGGUGGUUUGGGACCCAGGGGCGUUAAUUUGAUAGAAAUGACCUGGAGAGCAGCAGCGCUCCCCAGGGUUUUGCAGUUCUUGUUCAUGACAGAGCCCAGCGGAAGGUCCAAGCAUGAGGGAGGAAUGUCAAGGGCAGCGUGGUGGGCGCAGGAGCUGGAGGGGGCUUGGGGUUUGGUGAUUGACCUUUGACCUUCUCCAACAGAGGUGCAAAUGUUACAGAUGGGGUCUGGGGACAGCGAAGCGGGGAGAGGUGGACUGGAGUUGAGUGUGCUCUGGUUUGGAAGUGAGACCUUGACUUGUGGCCUCACCCUGUUUGGGUGACGUCUCUGUUCAGACCUAAGCCCCACGGGCACACGACAAGGAAGACAGAUGGGGGUGGUGGCAGUUGGGAGCCUUAGCGAGAUUCUGUCUGGUGCUGGGCUGGAGCCAGGGAAUGGGACCUUCUUCUGACAGCUCAUUGGCUGCUUCCCAUGGAAAAGAAGCCGAUCCGUGUGAUGCGGGCUUGGUAAGAUACCGAGGAACAAGGGGCGGGAAUGCUGCAGAGCACGGUGGGGAGGGAGAGCCCCUGACUGGCUGUGUUUUGGGGAACUGAUCCAGAUUUUCAAAGCCACAUGAUCACCCUGAUGGCAAAGAGUAGGCUGGUGUGUCCUGGCUUUCCCUCCCCAGCCCUUUCUUCUCACACCUCUCGGCGAUUUGGUUUUCUUUCCUUUCUCUAAGGCCUGUCCUUGAAAGAUGGAAAUGUCCAUAAGUUGGGGGUCUAUGCUGUGUCAGGUCUGGGGACAGAGAUGGGACCCCCCCAGAGACACCGAAUGCAGGAUUCUUUCAACAUCUCCAAGAGGUGCUGCUGUCAUGACCCCCGUGUGCCCGGGAGGAAAGAGAAGCUGGUGGACUUGGGGGACCACAUGAGUCUUGUGGGAACAGCGGUGUGCUGACCACCCAUCUGAGGACUAGGUGCGGACUGGCCUAAGGCAGGGGGGAGGCUCCAGGAUGACGGUCACUUGUCAUUUCUCCACUGGAGGCUCCACAAGGGCUUGCGGCCUCUGAUUCUCCGCCUGUGCUUCACAGCUACUGCCACAAGCAGGACGCUUCAGAGGCCCAGGCCCCACCUCUGCGCCCACCUGCCACUUUCAAAAGAAAUCUAGAGUGAAAGGAAGAGAGUUUCUAUUUUUGAUGAGACACCAGUGAAAUGGAGGCUUUUUAAAUAAUUAAAAUCCAGAAUACAUUAUUUAUUCA